rnacentral:rRNA from 1 species
ACUCCUACGGGAGGCAGCAGUGGGGAAUAUUGCACAAUGGGCGAAAGCCUGAUGCAGCGACGCCGCGUGAGCGAAGAAGUAUUUCGGUAUGUAAAGCUCUAUCAGCAGGGAAGAUAAUGACGGUAC